CUAGCAUCUAACUCUUCCAUGGCCACUCAUCUUCUUCCUCAACCAUCCUUGGUGUCAGAACUUAGAGGUCUCCAACUUUGGGGACAUUUGGAGAAACCAAUUCUUCCAUCCAUAUCCAAGAAGGCAUGGUGCCAAGAAGCAAAGUUCCUCCAUCCACAUCCAUGGAGCCAAGGAGUAAGGUGACAAAGGAAAGAAGGCCCUCACAUGGGUGAUUAACCUUUGCUAAGCAAAAAGGUGCUUCAAAGGUAUAAAGUUUCUCAACUCACUUGGUUUUGAGUUGAGUCUUGGUUCACCCUUCUACCAGGCUUUGAAUUUCAUGGGUAAUGUUUUGUUUUGGGUGCAUACAAGCAUGAUUCCGCCUUUAAAUGUUAAUUGCAUGCCAUAGAUGUUGCUCAAAUGAACAUGUUUUUCACAAAAUUUCCUUCAAGUGGUAUGAAGAGCCUAGGUCUAGUAGUUGGUGAAUCCUUUUGGGUUUUGUAUUUUCAUAGUUUAUGAUUUGAAUGUUGUAAUUGUUACAAGCUUUAUUCUUGCUUCUUUGAAUGUAAAUUUUGUUAGAAAAUUUGCCAUCUCAAAUGUUAUAGAUGUAGUUCAUAUGAGCAUGAAUUUUGGAGCUAAAAUUUGGUGCCAUGUUUUUGGGGAAAUUCGGCCAAA
rnacentral:lncRNA from 1 species